AACGUAGGAGACGAACGUUAUCCGGAGUUACUGGGCGUAAAGGGCGUGCAGGCGGCAGCUUAAGUCUGUUGUGAAAAACUCCGGCUCAACCGGGGAGGUGCGAUAGAUACUGAGCAGCUCGAGGGCGGUAGAGGCGUGUGGAAUUCCGGGUGUAGUGGUGAAAUGCGUAGAUAUCCGGAGGAACACCAGUGGCGAAGGCGACACGCUGGGCCGCACCUGACGCUAAGACGCGACAGCAUGGGGAGCGAACGGG
rnacentral:rRNA from 1 species